ACCUCUAAAACAGGCAAAAGGACCUUGAAAGUAGAAACACACCAGUCUCUGUAGGCAAAUGCCUUUGUGUGCUGGCUGGCAAAAAUUGAAUUCUGGGUCAGAGACAACUUUAUUUCAAGUCAUUGUAAAAGGUUUCAAAAUGGAGUCAGCCACCGCUUACAUGGGCCUGGUAACUCAAGGCAAACAUGCAUCCCACUGCGAACAAUCAGUGAAAGCCACAACCACUUCCCUGGUGAGAAGGGCCAAAGAACUGCUGACAUGCCUUGAAAGAAGCAGUAAAAGAACAGGUUUGUUAAAAGCCAACAGCAAAGGAAAGAGGGGGGAAAGCAGUCUACAGUAAAGGAACACCUCUGCCCAUCAACAGGAGUAGUAUUUGCAAUGGUGGGGCAAAGUAGAUUCCAAGACGCAGACAGAAUUCACCACACCUCAGGGCAAGGCCAGAUCAAGGGAGAAGGUACAGGAAAGGAAAUGAAGCCGCAUCGGAGGUGGUAACAACGAAACUGACCAAUCACCGUGCUAGAUUCCCACCCCUACUUCACACAUUAAACGCUCACUUCUGUCCGAGACUCAGGAAACACUGUGACAGGAAAUGAUGCCGCCAUCAGGGGUAGCAACGGAACUGACAAUUCACCAUGCUAGAGAAGAAACUAAUUUUUUAAAUUUUAAAUAGUUUCUUGUCCCAUUACAUUCACAAAAAUUUUAGGGGUAUGCGUACCCCUGUGUACCCCCAGAAAAAAGCACUGCUUGCAGGUAAGUGGGUACAAGAUUACAGCACAAAUUGACCAGACUCUAAAAAUCUGGUCUAUACGGCCAUGAUGUUAAUUAUGAGUCUCUUUUCCCCCAGAAAGGUGAACUCAAAACAUCAAAAACAAGUGCAAAAACUAGAAUAAAAUCAAUCUAAAAUUUCCCUUGUAUCACUGAAACAUGAUUAUUUCCAAGUCACACUGAAACUAGGAAUUGAAUUAUUUCAUUCAGUUGUUUGUUAGAAUUGCCUGUAAACUUUACUUCUUAUACACUAAAAGCUUGGG